CAGUCGCCGCGGGAAUACGGAGGGGGCUAGCGUUGUUCGGAAUUACUGGGCGUAAAGCGCACGUAGGCGGCUUUGUAAGUUAGAGGUGAAAGCCCGGAGCUCAACUCCGGAAUUGCCUUUAAGACUGCAGAGCUAGCAGGUGAGAGAGGUGAGUGGAAUUCCGAGUGUAGAGGUGAAAUUCGUAGAUAUUCGGAAGAACACCAGUGGCGAAGGCGACUGACUGGACAAGUAUUGACGCUGAGGUGCGAAAGCGUGGGGAGCAAACAGGAUUAGAUACCCCCGUAGUCCCUGUCUCUUAUAC
rnacentral:rRNA from 1 species